UUCGAUACGAAGCGAUGAACCUUACCCGGGUUUGAAAUGUACCUGCACGGCCCCAGAAACGGGGCAAGCCUUAGAGGGUGGUACACAGCUGUUGCAUGGCUGUCGUCAGCUCGUGACGUGAGUUGUUCUCUUAAGUGAGGUAACGAGCGCAACCCCCAUUCUGUGUUACUAUGUCACAGAAGACUGCCCAGCAUUAUUUUGUUGGGAGGAAGGAGGGGACGACGUCAAGUCAUCAUGAUGCUUAUAUCCGGGGCUACACACAUCCUACAAUGGGUGGUACAGAGGGUCGCAAUACCGCGAGGUGGAGCUAAUCCUUAAAACCUCCCUCAGUUGGGAUUGCAGGCUGAAACUCGCCUGCAUGAACUUGGAAUUGGUAGUAAUCGCAAAUCAGCAGAUUGCGGUGAAUACGUUCUCGCCUCUUG
rnacentral:rRNA from 1 species